ensembl:snRNA U5 U5 spliceosomal RNA
UCACUCUUGUUUCACUUCAGAUCGUAUAAAUCUUUCGCCUUUUACUAAAGAUUUCCGUGGAGUGGAACAAUUAAGAGUUUUACUCAAUUUUUUGAUGCCCUGCGUCUGCGGGGCU